GAUGAACGCUGGCGGCGUGCCUAAUACAUGCAAGUCGAGCGAACAGACGAGGAGCUUGCUCCUCUGACGUUAGCGGCGGACGGGUGAGUAACACGUGGAUAACCUACCUAUAAGACUGGGAUAACUUCGGGAAACCGGAGUUAAUACCGGAUAAUAUAUUGAACCGCAUGGUUCAAUAGUGAAAGACGGUUUUGCUGUCACUUAUAGAUGGAUCCGCGCCGCAUUAGCUAGUUGGUAAGGUAACGGCUUACCAAGGCAACGAUGCGUAGCCGACCUGAGAGGUUGAUCGGCCACACUGGAACUGAGACACGGUCCAGACUCCUACGGGAGGCAGCAGUAGGGAAUCUUCCGCAAUGGGCGAAAGCCUGACGGAGCAACGCCGCGUGAGUGAUGAAGGUCUUCGGAUCGUAAAACUCUGUUAUUAGGGAAGAACAAAUGUGUAAGUAACUAUGCACGUCUUGACGGUACCUAAUCAGAAAGCCACGGCUAACUACGUG
rnacentral:rRNA from 1 species